rnacentral:rRNA from 1 species
GACGAACUGUGCAAACGUUAUUCGGAUUCACUGGGCUUAAAGCGUGUGUAGGCGGCCCGUUAAGUACCUUGUGAAAUCCCACGGCUCAACCGUGGAACUGCUGGGUAUACUGGCGGGCUUGGGCCACUCAGGGGCAGACGGAACAGGCGGUGGAGCGGUGAAAUGCGUAGAUAUCGCCUGGAACGCCGAAGGUGAAAACAGUCUGCUGGGGGUGUGCCGACGCUGAGACACGAAAGCCAGGGGAGCGAAGGGG